GAUGAACGCUGGCGGCGUGCCUAAUACAUGCAAGUCGAGCGAACGGACGAGAAGCUUGCUUCUCUGAUGUUAGCGGCGGACGGGUGAGUAACACGUGGAUAACCUACCUAUAAGACUGGGAUAACUUCGGGAAACCGGAGCUAAUACCGGAUAAUAUUUUGAACCGCAUGGUUCAAAAGUGAAAGACGGUCUUGCUGUCACUUAUAGAUGGAUCCGCGCUGCAUUAGCUAGUUGGUAAGGUAACGGCUUACCAAGGCAACGAUGCAUAGCCGACCUGAGAGGGUGAUCGGCCACACUGGAACUGAGACACGGUCCAGACUCCUACGGGAGGCAGCAGUAGGGAAUCUUCCGCAAUGGGCGAAAGCCUGACGGAGCAACGCCGCGUGAGUGAUGAAGGUCUUCGGAUCGUAAAACUCUGUUAUUAGGGAAGAACAUAUGUGUAAGUAACUGUGCACAUCUUGACGGUACCUAAUCAGAAAGCCACGGCCAACUACGUGCCAGCAGCCGCGGUAAUACGUAGGUGGCAAGCGUUAUCCGGAAUUAUUGGGUGUAAAGCGCGCGUAGGCGGUUUUUUAAGUCUGAUGUGAAAGCCCACGGCUCAACCGUGGAGGGUCAUUGGAAACUGGAAAACUUGAGUGCAGAAGAGGAAAGUGGAAUUCCAUGUGUAGCGGUGAAAUGCGCAGAGAUAUGGAGGAACACCAGUGGCGAAGGCGACUUUCUGGUCUGUAACUGACGCUGAUGUGCGAAAGCGUGGGGAUCAAACAGGAUUAGAUACCCUGGUAGUCCACGCCGUAAACGAUGAGUGCUAAGUGUUAGGGGGUUUCCGCCCCUUAGUGCUGCAGCUAACGCAUUAAGCACUCCGCCUGGGGAGUACGACCGCAAGGUUGAAACUCAAAGGAAUUGACGGGGACCCGCACAAGCGGUGGAGCAUGUGGUUUAAUUCGAAGCAACGCGAAGAACCUUACCAAAUCUUGACAUCCUUUGACAACUCUAGAGAUAGAGCCUUCCCCUUCGGGGGACAAAGUGACAGGUGGUGCAUGGUUGUCGUCAGCUCGUGUCGUGAGAUGUUGGGUUAAGUCCCGCAACGAGCGCAACCCUUAAGCUUAGUUGCCAUCAUUAAGUUGGGCACUCUAAGUUGACUGCCGGUGACAAACCGGAGGAAGGUGGGGAUGACGUCAAAUCAUCAUGCCCCUUAUGAUUUGGGCUACACACGUGCUACAAUGGACAAUACAAAGGGCAGCGAAACCGCGAGGUCAAGCAAAUCCCAUAAAGUUGUUCUCAGUUCGGAUUGUAGUCUGCAACUCGACUACAUGAAGCUGGAAUCGCUAGUAAUCGUAGAUCAGCAUGCUACGGUGAAUACGUUCCCGGGUCU
rnacentral:rRNA from 1 species